UAGACUUGCUCGCAUUCUGGUGCUCGCGCGCGUUGCUCUUUCGCGCGCGGUUAAACGGGAAGCAGGAAGCGUCCGGUCCGCCACGGAUCGUCGCCAACCUGCGCUGCCCCCGCAACGGUAAGCGAAAGCCGCACGUCGCGCAUCGUAUCGAUGUCUCGCGCGCGGCCAUGCCGGCUUCGGUGCACGUGCGUUCGCCGCAUCUGCAUUGCUCCACUGCGCGUUUGUCAUGCCCAUCGCGCGGGAAGGUGAAGCGGCGUUUUCGUCAGCCCGGAUACCGGCCAGACAACAGAACGGAUC
rnacentral:ncRNA from 2 species